rnacentral:sRNA from 1 species
UGAUAACAGGGUCAAAAGUAUAAGAACACUGCAAGCUCGCUUGCAAGUGGGUGAAAUACUUUAAGACCCGCGGAAAUAUUCGGAUAAAAGUGGGACGUAAGUCACACUUUUAUCCGAAUAUUUCGGAGGAUUGUGGGAGUACGAAGUACGGAACAAUCCGUGUUAUCA